AUAAAAACUGAGUAUUCUCACACUGUCUAUUUUUUGAAAAUAUAACAACAUUGGUCUUAGCUACAUUGACUUUGAGUUUCCAGGUUUCACAAUACAACCAGGUGCUCCGCAGGGCGCAGCUUUAUACGACCGCAGAGGUCGAACCCUGAACAGUUAGGGCAAGUAUGGACAAAACAUUCAAGCGUGAUACAGCUCUGAAUUUGGAUUGUGAUCAAAUUUUUGACAUUACAUGUUUUUUUUUACACAAAACAAAUGUCAAGAAUUUACAAAUCAAUUAAAGAUUUCUUCUUCAAACUUUUUAAAUCUAAAAUUAAAUAGUUAACACAGCAUAGGUUUCUGACACAGAAUGAAUGUGGUCUAAUGAACUUAAAAGUUUUUUUUAGCCUUUGAGCAAUUCACUAUGCUGUUGAAUAUUAAUCCUCUCAAAAAAAUGUUUGAAGAAAUUUUCUUUUUAUUUAUGAAAUCUGAAAUGAGAAAAAUUUAACCCCCCCCCCCUUUUUUUCACAUCCCCGUUUCCCUUUUUCCAAAACUGAUAUCAAUUCAAAUUUCUAAUGGAGUUUGCAACAAUAACUACUCUUUUAAAUACAUCAUAAAAUAUUAAAAUGUAAAAUAAAGUGCUUGUUAUCACUGAAU
rnacentral:lncRNA from 1 species